AGGUCCAACAACAUCGCCAUCCCUUUUGAGUUCUAACAGCAGAAGUCUGACAGUCACUACCCGUCUCGGACAGGAGAAAGCCAGGCAGGAGUGUGUUUGAAGCCUGAUCCUUAUAAGCAACUAUCCAGUGUCUACAUUCUAUACUCCCUUCUCCAGCCUCAAGCAGUCAAUAGAGACCCUGAGAUUCAAUUUCCUCACACAAAAAAAUGUCUACUGGCGAUCUUGAAUGUUCUGUGGCCAGAGAGCAAUAGAGUGUCCGCUGAGCGCCAGGUACACGGUGGGAGCCAGAGAAUACAAACAACAUUCUGAACUGAUUCUCUUUCCAUGUGACCAAGAUUGUUUGUUGGGUGUUCUCGAGCAUUCUGUGGUCUGGCAAGUUGACACAUUAUAUAAUUCAUCAAUGCUGAAGAAAGG
rnacentral:lncRNA from 1 species